rnacentral:rRNA from 1 species
AAGAAAGUAAGUAAGGGCGUAUGGGGGAUGCCUAGGCUCUUGGAGGCUAAGAAGGACGUGGUAAGCUGCGAAAAGCUGCGGGGAUUUGCAAACGAGACUCGAUCCGCAGAUAUCCGAAUGGGACAACCCGGCAGGUAGAAGACCUGUCACACCGCGAGGUGAGCUAACCCUCUGAACUGAAACAUCUAAGUAGGAGGAGGAAAAGAAAGAAACAUCGAUUUCCAAAGUAGCGGCGAGCGAAAUGGAAGAAGCCCAAACCGAUAUUGUUACGGCAAUAUCGGGGUUGUAGGACUGCAAUAUUCAAUUAACAAUGAACUGGAAUGGUCUGGAAAGUCCAUCCAUAGAGAGUGAAAGGCUCGUACAGGUAAGUUUGUUAUGCGAAA